rnacentral:lncRNA from 1 species
AUGGCUCCUGGAGGCAGUGCUUUGAAAGAAGUCCUUGAAUCCACUUCGACUGGAAUGGACUACGAGGUUAAAAUAGCAAAAGCGGAAGCUAAUAAUAACAAUAACAAACCUACAAAGUCAGGCAUCGCAGGGAGUGGAAAGUAUGGCAUGCAUUCAAACAAUGGUGUCUACGAGCUUCUUGAAUGUCCAGUGUGCACAAACUUAAUGUACCCUCCAAUUCAUCAGGUUCGUCUCUCACUUUCUAUCUCCCUGUUAAAAGUUUUGUAAUUGCAAAGCGUAACGUUGUUUAAAUUCUACAGUGUCCAAAUGGCCACACCUUAUGUUCAAACUGCAAAGCGAGAGUGCAGAACACUUGCCCUACAUGUCGUUACGAGCUUGGUAACAUAAGAUGCUUAGCUCUGGAGAAAGUUGCAGAGUCCUUGGAAGUUCCAUGCCGGUACCAGAGUUUGGGCUGUCAUGACAUUUUUCCUUACUACAGCAAGCUUAAACACGAGCAGCACUGCAGGUUUAGGCCUUACGCUUGUCCUUAUGCUGGCUCUGAGUGUUCGGUUACAGGUGAUAUCCCCACGCUAGUUGUUCAUUUGAAAGAUGAUCAUAAGGUUGAUAUGCAUGACGGAUGCACUUUUAACCACCGUUAUGUGAAGUCAAAUCCACAUGAAGUCGAGAAUGCCACAUGGAUGCUUACGGUAUAGUUUUCUUGUUUAUCAAUAUGGUUUCUUGUAGUGAUGGGCAUUCUGGUUUUUGGUUCGGGUUAUUUGUGUUCGGGUGUUUAAGACCUGUUUAGGAACCAAACAUUUUUUGGAUCGGAUGGGUUCGGGUAUUAUCGGGUUCAGGUCGGUUUUCUAUUUUUUUAUAAAACUCGACGAAUUAGAAAUAGUUUAGGAUUAAUUUGUGUUAAACCCGAAAAAACCAAAAAAUAUUCGGGUAAUUUGGAUAAUUCAGAUUUUUUUAUUUAUAAAUUAUAUUUUAUAUAAUAAAUAUUAACAAUAAUUAAUAUGUUAUUAUAUUUUAAAUAUUGGGUAGGUGUCCGGUUCUCAGUUCUGGUUUGGUUUUGGUUUUCCGGUGUAGAGAUAUAGAAACCGUUUGAGUUUUUGUAAAUUUCGGUUCGGUUUUUGGGUUUAGGAUAAUAUAUGCCCAUGACUAGUUUCUUGCUACACCGUUGAGUACUAUAUCUGAUAGGGGUACUUGGUCUCAUUUUCACAUUAAUCCUCCAAUACAUGUUGCUUUACACUCUAACUUGCAUUCGGUUUUACAGGUGUUCAACUGCUUUGGGAGACAGUUCUGUUUACACUUUGAAGCGUUCCAGCUGGGGAUGGCUCCAGUGUACAUGGCAUUCCUUCGUUUCAUGGGAGAUGAAAACGAGUCAAAGAAGUUCAGUUACAGUUUGGAAGUAGGAGCUCAUGGACGUAAACUAACAUGGCAAGGAAUCCCUAGAAGCAUCCGUGACAGUCACAGGAAAGUAAGGGACAGUCAAGACGGUCUCAUCAUCCCAAGGAACCUUGCACUCUACUUCUCUGGAGGUGAUAGGCAAGAACUCAAGUUGAGAGUGACCGGUCGAAUCUGGAAAGAAGAGUAAACCAAGAAAGAAAUGAUUGAAAAUUUGAUGUACAUAAGAAGAAGCCUCUCAAGGAGAGCUAGUGAUCGUAUGGAAGAUUUGAAAUUGGUUGUCCGUUUUAGUCUGUCAUGAUGGAUUCUUCUCCAAUGGAGAUGAAGAUGAGAUGAUGAUAAUCUUCUAGGAUGAAUCAGUUUGGAGGGAGCCAUUGUUACCAUCUCUGUACUUUUUGGUUUCUUUUGUUGUUGGGUUUGUGUGGUUUCAGACAGGGAAUGUAGGAGAAAGACACAUGAUUUUGGCUAUGUUCUUGUUGUAAAACCAUGUCCGAAACAGUUUGGUGCAUUUUUUCUUUGUUCACAGUGGUGAUUUUGAUGCAAGAGCAUUAUUGGAACCUUUUUUAGAGACUACAUAGAUGUCAGCUCGCACAGGAAGCAGACAAAGACGCUUUAGUGCUGAGAUGCAUUUGAAUCAAACAAGUAUAAGCCAAACUUACCAUUUCAACCCCCGUUAAUACAUGCUAAACUGUUAGCUUUAUACGUGUCUGUAUUGGCUUCAGUGAAGAAUUGAAGGAGCUUGAAGGUUUCUUAGAGGAGAUGAGGAGACUAUGAAUACAAAAACGUGAAAGAACAAAAAGACUUGUGGCAGUCACAGUCACAGUCACAGGUUAGUCCUUGUUCUAAUCUUCUAACAAUUUCUCACUUUUAUGUGUAAACGCAAUCUCAAACACAGACAUCUACGUUUAAAACAAUCUGAGAUAGAAGGAUAUUUUUGAAGUAUAGUGAUGUGAAAACUUUUGUGGGAAAAUUUAUAACAAAAUAUAUGGUAGCAUGUAUCCCAACUAAAUAAAAUGUCAUUUCAAAGUAUGUAAAUGUUGUCUGAUUUGAAGAAAAAUUGUAAAUUGUCAAGUAUCCAAAGAAGUUUUUUAUUAAACAAAAAAAAUUGUAAAUUGUCAAGUACAAAAACAAUAAAGGCGCCACGAAAAAAACGAGCAAAAACACAUAUAUUUAUACAUGUAUAUUACUCUCAUAAAUCAUUUGGGAUUGUAGAAAAAAUAGAAUGUUCUGGUUUGUGAUGGCAUUCAAAAUCGAGGUGAACAAAAGCUCUUUCCACUUCUGGAAGUUCUUCAAGCUUUAUUUGCAAUGAUUCACCAAUUGCAUGAGCUUCUUUUAAUGGUAAAUCCUCUGGAAGUUCUAUAUCCACCUGCCAAAACACAUAUAUAAUAACAUAUGUUAAACUUAAUUACGAAUUAACCAAACCUCAUAAAUUUAUGAUGUAAUAUAAAUUAUGCAGUGGUCAAGUGCAUUUAGAAAUUGACAUCUAAAUUUUAACUAUAUGUUUGCAACAUGAAUGUGUUUACAUACAUAGACAUACCUCAACAAAGUAAAGAACACCAAAGGUAUAGGCACGAACGGUAUCAACACGUUUGAUGUUAUCGGCGCCUUGUCGCAACACUAGAUAUGUCAACUUCUGUAAUACUUCCGGUGGAGCUGAUUGUCCGAUCAAUGAGACUACACAUAUACAAAACACAUAAUGAUAAAUAACCCAAUCUUAGACCACAUGCUAAACGCAUCGAGAGCUUGAGGAAUACGAUUCAAAGGUCUCCUUUUACUAUACCGAUGGAAGAAAUGAUUAGACGUAUACAGAGUAGGUUUGAGAGGGACUCAGCCCCUGUCCCUGAUUUUAGCAACCGGGAGGCUUCAGAAAGAGUGAACGAUCGAGCCAACUCGAUUCUUAACCGGUUGAUGACUUCUAGAGGAGUUAGAUCAGAGCAGAACCAGGCUAGUGCUGCUGCAGCAACAGCAUCAGAGGAUAUCAAUCUGAACCCGGACAUUGCUGCUCCUGAUCUUGAAGGAGAGACCACCACGAGAUUCCAUCCUCUGUUGAUCAGGAGACAGCUACAGUCACAUAGAGUCGCAAGGAUCUCGAACUUCACUUCUGCGUUGAGUUCUGCUGAGCGGCUUGUAGACGCGUAUUUUAGAACGCAUCCACUGGGGAGGAACCACAACCACCAAGAGCUGAACCAUCAUUCUCCUGUUGUGGUUGAUGAUAGAGACUCUUUCUCAAGCAUUGCAGCUGUUAUAAACUCUGAGAGUCAAGUGGAUACUGCGGUUGAGAUUGAUUCCAUGGUCACUCUUUCGACGUCUUCUUCGAGGAGAAGGAAUGAGAAUGGGUCGAGAGUUUCUGAUGUUGACAGUGCUGAUUCUCGCCCGCCUAGGAGAAGGAGAUUUACUUGAAAAACUAAAGCUUUCAGUCUGUGGAAGAUGAUGAUGAUGAAGAGGAAGAUUGUAACUGUAUUUUUCUUUUUCUUGUGUCGCUUGUUGGUUUGUUGUAUUUUGAUUUGUAAUUUUCGCAAUAGGGAUGGUAUUUUACUAUUUUUAAUCAAAGUUUUAUUAUCUUUUUUUCAGAAACUUUAUUCUGAUUGAACCUGGCAAUAGUUUCUCAACCCAUUGAAUCCAAUGUGGAAUGUGUUUCUUAUUUGACUAGUAGUGGACACCAUCAUGCAAGAUGCAUCUUAGGUGUAUAUCUAAUCAUCUUUGCACAUAAAACGCCAACGCCAACAUUCAAAUUGCAUUUUAAUGCUUUUAUAAAAAUGUAAAAUCAUUAACAAAAUGUAUAAGAAAUCAACAACCUUCUUAAGACAGCCAUGUAGGCAAAAGAAUGGAAUAGCAUGUACAUCCACUUUUGUGAAGUUUAUAAUCGAUCAGAUAGUAUCGCGUUAAUCAUCGUGCAAACAAGUCGCUUUGGCCGAGUGGUUAAGGCGUGUGCCUGCUAAGUACAUGGGGUUUCCCCGCGAGAGUUCGAAUCUCUCAGGCGACGAGUGUUUUUAUUAUUUCUUUUUGAAAUAUUACUUUCCCCUUGCGCCGUAACUCGCAACCUUUUUGUUCUCGAAACAAAAAACAAGAUACUUUGAGCAGUGUACAUGUCACAUGCGAGCAGCAACACCCGACACGUAAAUUAUUCUUUUGAAUGAUCUACUCUCAUAUGUUUCUUGUCAAUUAUUUCAGUGCUGGUUUGAACAUCAUUCUUAUUUUUUUAGUACAUAUUCCAACUUUUUUGACAAUACAAUAACCACCGCAUAAAAUACAAUCGCAGAAACGGACAUCUUCAAAACCAUUUUCAGGCUUUCAGCAUUUAUAAUCAAAAUAGCAUAUAAAUUGUAAACUUGUAAUGGUCUGUUUUACUAAAAACUGGUUGACAAUUUCUUAAAAUUAGAAGAAAAAAAAAUUACAAGUCUAAAUUUCGUGAAGAAAAUUACGUCAGCGGCAGGUAUAUAUAUAUAUAUAUAGAGAGAGCUUUAUUCGGUUUAAAGCCAAAUUUUAAAACAAAGAUAAAAACAAAAUGAAAAUGAUGUGUGCGGGAAACGAGCGUCGUCUCGUUACUCGAUGCAAGAAUCGAGCCAAUAAGAUAUUUUGAUUUUUAGAAUUAGUUAUUAGAGCUUUUCGUAAUUGGUCAUUACUUUCAUAGUUUCGUAACAAGAGUUGACUUUUGGAGUCUCAUUUCAACGUCUUUACCUGCUCUUUACUGCUUCUUUUGUUUUUACUCAUAAUAAUCAUAUGUAAUCUACGUAGUUUAAAUUUUUUGUUUGGUUAGAACUUAAAAACAUGAAAGAUACGAAAAUAAAAGUAAUCGAGCGUUAUAAGUUGUAAACACAAACGCAGAUAGUAAUAAUUAGUAAGAUAGUACAAAAUCUAAUAAAGUAUAAAUAAUUGUAAUUAAGGGGAGAUUAAUAUAGUACUAGUAUUGCUUAAAUAAAAGGAGCCAAACACCACCACCAUGGUUAAUUGUGAUGAUUCGGUGUGGUUUUUUUAAAAAAGUGGAAAAAAGACAAAACAGAGACCACCACCAUUAAUGACUUUCAUUCGAUACCAACAAGACAUGACUCUCCUCCCGUCUCUUUUCAUUUUCUGAGUGACCCAGAAUUUUUUUUCAUUCUUUCAAAAAUCCGUCGAUAUCUCGUUUUGAUUUGAAUCUGAAACAAACAAAACACCUAUAAACACGUGAACAGUCUGCUGUUUUGUUUCCAGGUAAUGAUCUUUUUUUUUCUUUUUUUUUUUUAAUUUGAGGUCUUUUUGUCUGAAAUCGAGAAAAAGAUCGAUAAAUCACCAAAUUCCGAAAUUGGGUUCUCGGGUCAAUGAUUUAUGUUAAUAUGAAUCAUCGUGUGACGAAUAUAUCUCAAAAGGUCAAAACUUUCGAGAUUUUUUUUUUGAGAACCCUUUCUCUGUUUUGUUGUCUUUGAAACUUUUGAUUUGAUGGAUUGUUUGUUUGAAAUUGUUUCUUAGGGUAAAGAGAAUGUUGAGAUAAAUGACAUUGAGGUUUGCAUUUCUUUACAGAGAUUUCUGCUUAAAACGUGGUUUGAAUUUAAAAGUUUAAAAACUUUGUUUUUUUUUUUUGGUUUAAAACCUUGCUUGCACGAUCUUUUAUUAGCUGUCAUAGAGUUAGAUUUGCUGAUUCUUGUCCUAGUUAGAUCUCUAUUAUUCUGUUUCUCUGUCUAUUUAGAUUGAAUAAUAAUUAUCUCUGCAAAGAAAAUAGUUAUAUAUUUUUUUCUUUUUGUUGAUGUUUGAUAGUUCUGCCAUUCAUUACUGUUCGUUCAUUGGAAUGGUGCAAAGCAUUGUUCAUAGCUUUGGUACCUAUCUGAAAGUGCAUUAAAUAUUUUUGCUUCAAUUCUUUGUUUACUUUUGAGUUGUUUUAUUUUAUACUUUAGUUGCUUUAGGAAGCUAACACAUCACAUAAGUCUACUUUUUUCUCAGUAUCAAGUUAUGUGAUUGCUAAUUUUAUGUUGUUUUUGAUUCCUUUUUUUUUUUACUCUUGCAGCAUAACAAAUAGAUCCAAAAGGAGCAAAUCAUCUGACUACAAGUGAAAGAACAAAGGCAUUUCACUCACCAUGGCUCCUGGAGGCAGUGCUUUGAAAGAAGUCCUUGAAUCCACUUCGACUGGAAUGGACUACGAGGUUAAAAUAGCAAAAGCGGAAGCUAAUAAUAACAAUAACAAACCUACAAAGUCAGGCAUCGCAGGGAGUGGAAAGUAUGGCAUGCAUUCAAACAAUGGUGUCUACGAGCUUCUUGAAUGUCCAGUGUGCACAAACUUAAUGUAC